AUGAACGCUAGCUACAGGCUUAACACAUGCAAGUCGAGGGGCAGCAUGAACUUAGCUUGCUAAGUUUGAUGGCGACCGGCGCACGGGUGAGUAACACGUAUCCAACCUGCCGAUGACUCGGGGAUAGCCUUUCGAAAGAAAGAUUAAUACCCGAUAGCAUAGUUCUUCCGCAUGGUGGAACUAUUAAAGGAUUUCGGUCAUCGAUGGGGAUGCGUUCCAUUAGGUUGUUGGCGGGGUAACGGCCCACCAAGCCUUCGAUGGAUAGGGGUUCUGAGAGGAAGGUCCCCCACAUUGGAACUGAGACACGGUCCAAACUCCUACGGGAGGCAGCAGUGAGGAAUAUUGGUCAAUGGACGAGAGUCUGAACCAGCCAAGUAGCGUGAAGGAUGACUGCCCUAUGGGUUGUAAACUUCUUUUAUACGGGAAUAAAGUGAGGCACGUGUGCCUUUUUGUAUGUACCGUAUGAAUAAGGAUCGGCUAACUCCGUGCCAGCAGCCGCGGUAAUACGGAGGAUCCGAGCGUUAUCCGGAUUUAUUGGGUUUAAAGGGAGCGUAGGCGGACGCUUAAGUCAGUUGUGAAAGUUUGCGGCUCAACCGUAAAAUUGCAGUUGAUACUGGGUGUCUUGAGUACAGUAGAGGCAGGCGGAAUUCGUGGUGUAGCGGUGAAAUGCUUAGAUAUCACGAAGAACUCCGAUUGCGAAGGCAGCCUGCUGGACUGUAACUGACGCUGAUGCUCGAAAGUGUGGGUAUCAAACAGGAUUAGAUACCCUGGUAGUCCACACAGUAAACGAUGAAUACUCGCUGUUUGCGAUAUACAGUAAGCGGCCAAGCGAAAGCGUUAAGUAUUCCACCUGGGGAGUACGCCGGCAACGGUGAAACUCAAAGGAAUUGACGGGGGCCCGCACAAGCGGUGGAGUAUGUGGUUUAAUUCGAAGCAACGCGAAGAACCUUACCAGGGCUUGACAUAUAGAUGAAUAUAUAAGAGAUUAUAUAGCUUUUCGGAGCAUCUAUACAGGUGGUGCAUGGUUGUCGUCAGCUCGUGUCGUGAGAUGUUGGGUUAAGUCCCGCAACGAGCGCAACCCCUGUUUCUAGUUGCCAGCAUGUAAAGAUGGGAACUCUAGAAAGACUGCCGUAGAUAAUACGGAGGAAGGUGGGGAUGACGUCAAAUCAGCACGGCCCUUACGUCCGGGGCUACACACGUGUUACAAUGGGGGGUACAGAAGGCAGCUACACGGCGACGUGAUGCUAAUCCCGAAAGCCUCUCUCAGUUCGGAUUGGAGUCUGCAACCCGACUCCAUGAAGCUGGAUUCGCUAGUAAUCGCGCAUCAGCCACGGCGCGGUGAAUACGUUCCCGGGCCUUGUACACACCGCCCGUCAAGCCAUGAAAGCCGGGGGUACCUGAAGUGCGUAACCGCAAGGAGCGCCCUAGGGUAAAACUGGUGAUUGGGGCU
rnacentral:rRNA from 1 species